AGUGAACGCUGGCGGUAGGCCUAACACAUGCAAGUCGAACGGCAGCACAGUAAGAGCUUGCUCUUACGGGUGGCGAGUGGCGGACGGGUGAGGAAUACAUCGGAAUCUACUUUUUCGUGGGGGAUAACGUAGGGAAACUUACGCUAAUACCGCAUACGACCUACGGGUGAAAGCAGGGGAUCUUCGGACCUUGCGCGAUUGAAUGAGCCGAUGUCGGAUUAGCUAGUUGGCGGGGUAAAGGCCCACCAAGGCGACGAUCCGUAGCUGGUCUGAGAGGAUGAUCAGCCACACUGGAACUGAGACACGGUCCAGACUCCUACGGGAGGCAGCAGUGGGGAAGAUUGGACAAUGGGCGCAAGCCUGAUCCAGCCAUACCGCGUGGGUGAAGAAGGCCUUCGGGUUGUAAAGCCCUUUGUUGGGAAAGAAAAGCAGCAGGUUAAUACCCCGCUGUUCUGACGGUACCCAAAGAAUAAGCACCGGCUAACUUCGUG
rnacentral:rRNA from 1 species